UACGAAGGGGGGCGAGCGUUGUUCGGAUUUACUGGGCGUAAAGGGGUGCGUAGGCGGGCGCGGUAAGUCGGGGUGUGAAAUCUCGGAGCUUAACUCCGAAACUGCAUUCGAUACUACCGUGCUUGAGGACUGGAGAGGAGACUGGAAUUACGGUGUAGCGGUGAAUGCGUAGAUAUCGUAAGGAAGACCAGUGGCGAAGGCGGUCUCUGGACAGUUCCUGACGCUGAGGCACGAAGGUCAGGAGCAACGG
rnacentral:rRNA from 1 species